CCUACGGGACGCAGCAGUAGGGAAUCUUCCACAAUGGGCGAAAGCCUGAUGGAGCAAAGCCGCGUGGGUGAAGAAGGUCUUCGGAUCGUAAAACCCUGUUGUUAGAGAAGAAAGUGCGUGAGAGUAACUGUUCACGUUUCGACGGUAACUAACCAGAAAGCGACGGCUAACUACGUGCCAGCAGACGAGGGACUACGUAGGUGGCAAGCUUUAUCCGGAUUUAUUUGGCGUAAAGGGAACGCAGGCGGUCUUUUAAGUCUGAUGGUAAAGCCUUCGGCUUAACCGGGGUAGUGCAUUGGAAACUGGGAGACUUGAGUGCAGAAGAGGAGAGUGGAACUCCAUGUGUAGCGGUGAAAUGCGUAGAUAUAUGGAAGAACACCAGUGGCGAAAGCGGCUCUCUGGUCUGUAACUGACGCUGAGGUUCGAAAGCGUGGGUAGCAAACAGGAUUAGAUACCCGAGUAGUC
rnacentral:rRNA from 1 species